rnacentral:rRNA from 1 species
GGACUACCGGGGUAUCUAAUCCUGUUUGCUCCCCACACUUUCGAGCCUCAGCGUCAGUUAGAGCCCAGCAAGCCGCCUUCGCCACUGGUGUUCCUCCGAAUCUCUACGCAUUUCACCGCUACACUCGGAAUUCCGCUUGCCUCUACUCCACUCAAGAACCACAGUUUCAACGGCAGUCCAGAGGUUGAGCCCCUGGUUUUCACCGCUGACUUGCAGUCCCGCCUGCGCUCCCUUUACACCCAGUAAUUCCGGACAACGCUCGCCACCUACGUAUUACCGCGGCGGCUGGCAC